GCAUUUUUGUGUGUCAUCCACGAAUGCAGAGGUGGAUCCAGCGCGUGCUGAUGAGAAUGCUAGUCCAGGUGUUUCCGAACUUUCUGGGGCAGAUGUCAGGAAUGUAAAGAGCACUGCAGUGCGAGGACAAGCAACAUGUCCAUCACCACGUAAUCUAAGUCCUGAAGUGGAGUGUUUAUUUUCACACAGAAAAGUCAUAGUUAAGUAGAGUUUCGCUAUAACAGGAGAGAGCCUACCUGGUUAUUGCUCCCACUUCCUCAGCCCAGGAACAGUGGCAAGGGCUUUCUUCACCCCUUGCAUUUUCAGGGGGCAUUAUCAGUUUUGUGUGUUGUUGCUACCAGUGGGAAGCAGCUGUGGCAAGAGUAAUCCAGUUCCUUUUCAUUCCAGCCUAAAAACAGAUGCACCAAGAGUGGGAGUCAGUGGAUGCCAUAUUAGCCUUUUGCCAUGGGAUAUUGUCUACUUCUCUUAACCCUCCUCUAUCACCUAGGCCUGAUCCAAAUCCUAUUUAACUUCCACAGGGUAUGUCUACAUAGCACACUAAGUCCAGGCUCUGAUUCAGAUUUGAGCCUAAGCCCCCGUUCCAUUCACACACAAAAUCAGUCUAACUCGGGUCAGCAAGCAUAUAGGACCCGGGUUCUAGGAUCCUCCUAUUGUGUUGGGACAGAGCUUGAAUCUCUCUGUGACUCAAGUCCAAGCCCUGUCAUUUUGCAGUGUGGAUACAGCUCAAGCCACAGACCUGAGUCACAAGGUCAGCCUACUUCAGUAUGGAUGCGUUACCAUGGCUAUGAGACUCAUAUUCAGCAAUUGUAAACCCAGGUUUACAAUGGAGUGUGGAUGCUCAGGUCAGUGGUGCUGGAACAAUUUUUAUAGUGGGGGUGCUGAGAGCCAAUGAACCAAACUGUAAACCCUGUAUAUAAUCGAAACCACUUAAAGUCAGCACCCCUAGUUCCAGCACCUAUGGUUCACGUGUGGGCUUGGAAACACACUCUACAAGCACAGGUCUUAUAGACCUGGGCUUACAAUGCAAUAUGGACAUACGCAUAGAUUCCUGUUUGCUGAUCAGGCCCCUAGAGCAGGGGAGUGGGCAGGUGGUAGUCUCUUUGGAAUGCAUCUAUCUGGUAUGUGGGAAAUGCUGUACGCCAGGGGACUUAGCAGAGUGGCAUCUGAGCACACUGAAGUGAAAAAUUACUAUUAAUGGAGUGACGCUUCAUUAUAAGAAAAUUGAAAGACCACAGAAAUGUACUGAUGUAAUUUAGGACUUUCACUCUACUCCACUGGUAACAAUCUUACCUAUAUGCUGCUGCACACGGUUAACUUAAGAUGUGAUUUUAAAUGGAUUUAA